rnacentral:rRNA from 1 species
UACAGAGGGUGCGAGCGUUGUUCGGAAUUACUGGGCGUAAAGCGCGCGUAGGUGGUGUAUUAAGUCUGCCGGUCAAAUGCCGAGGCUCAACCUCGUUGCACGCCGGGGAUACUGGCACGCUAGAGACAAGUAGAGGCAAGCGGAAUUCCGGGUGUAGCGGUGGAAUGCGUAGAGAUCCGGAAGAACACCGGAGGCGAAGGCGGCUUGCUGGGCUUGGUCUGACGCUGAGGCGCGAAAGCGUGGGGAGCGAACAGG